GACUGACUGGUCCAGGAAAAAGGGUCCCUGGAGACCCUCACGUGGGCAGGAAAACACCCAUCAUUGUCCAGUGUCACAGUUUUCUGAUUCACCCACCCAGCCAAACUCUGGCGUACCCUUUUUUUUACUUCUUCAACUGGAAUUGUUCCUUCUACACACCCUGCAGUUAAUCCUCAGAAGCAUGGACUCGUGGCUGUUGCUAACCCCACUGACACAGUAUGUCCUACGGACACACGGACUCCAUCCCGGCCCCUCCCAGCAGCCAGGAAAAUGCACGAACCCAAAGCCUUAGCAAGCUGCUUUCAACCAAACUUGGAAAAUGUUGCUGGGCUCUUGGGGGAUCUCUCUCUCUCUCUCUCUCUCUCUCUCUCUCUCUCUCUCUCUUUCUCCCUCCAUCUCUUCCUCUCUUUGCAUGUGCAAACUGUGCUGGGUCACCCUUCAACACUUCCCAGAUUGUCAGGAAAACAAAGAGAAAGCUUCGUCAAGCGUGGUGUUUCCUGGUCAGUGGAGGUCUUCCCGAGCGAGCAGAUUUGGGUCCCACUGAAGGAGAUUUAGCGUCUGCCAUGUGAAGACAGUGAACAAUAAAAGUGAGGAGCGAUUGUGAAACCCG
rnacentral:lncRNA from 1 species